UUCUGACGGCCAUAAAAACGCCGGCUCUCCGACGGAGGAGCAGCAGUCGGCUCCGCAACCAUGAGCCCAAGCGUCUCCUCCCUCCUGCUCCUGGCCGCCCUGCCAGGGCUGAUGGCGGCCGUGACGUUGGACGAGUCUGGGGGCGGCCUCCAGACACCCGGAGGAGGGAUCAGCCUCGUCUGCAAGGCCUCCGGAUUCACCUUCAGCAGUUUUGGCAUGGAAUGGGUGCGACAGGCACCCGGCAAGGGGCUGGAAUGGGUCGCAGGUAUUGGCAGCGCUGGUAGUGGCACAACCUACGCGCCGGCGGUGAAGGGCCGUGCCACCAUCUCCAGGGACAACGGGCAGAGCACAGUGAGGCUGCAGCUGAACAACCUCAGGGCUGAGGACACCGCCACCUACUACUGCGCCAAAGCUGCUGGUCACGGUGACUCCGAUCCACGGAGCUGCUGGCAUAAAAAGGCAAAUUUUCGAGCAUGAGGUGGUGAGAGGCGA